AGUAUUUUGAAUUUUCCAUUAAUUGUCCAUGUUUUUAAAGUAUGAGACUUUUUUUAAAAAAAAAUCUGAAUUUCUGAAUUAUUUUGGAAAACUAAAGUGCCUUGUCAUGCUGACCCCUACUCUGUCAUGGCAGUCAGUACCCACAUCUGUGCAACUAUGCUGACUCUGUAGCCCUGAAGGCCUCAGUGUCUCUAAACUUCAGCUCAAUAACCCAUGUGCUUUCUUAUAUCAAAAGCCAUGAUAACUCUUCAACUGAAAACUACGUGGAGUUUAUCCUGGAUUGGGUGUGCAUUUCUUUCUAUAUAAAGUGUGUUGUGGAAAGUUCCAAUUAUAAUAUCUUAGGAAUUUCUGAUGCUUCUUCAAUGGCUACCCUCUCUUAUUCUUUUUAAGAGACAAACUUUAGGAGAUGCUGAGAAAUUCUUCUAUCUAGAUAUUAAAAUUUGACAGGUCUGAGCCCAUGCUGGACCAACCGUCCCCUGGCCAACACCUGAUUCAGGAGGGACAGGUUGCACAGGCUGCCCAAGUGGUGUAAGGCAGUUUUGGGUGCCUCUGGGAAAGUCUCCCUUACCAUUAGACAGAGACCAGAGAAAUGGUCAUCCUAACCUCUGAGCAAUCUUCUGGCUGCUGGCUCAGAAAUAUAGAAUAUAAAGAUGGAAGGAGCCUGGGUCCCCAAAGUUCCUAGAACUACAGAAUUCGUUAAUCCUGGAAUCAUACCAGCUACAACUUUUUUUUAUAAAAUUAUCAUCAUUUUUACUUGUUUGAACAACUUGUGUUUUGGUCAUUCCUUCCAGCCAAAAGCAUUUUCUUUUGAUCAAACUUCUGAUUCCCCAAAAUUCUACUUUGUGGGAUGAGAACUGACCCAGAGACCUCUGAAGUCUUUCCCAGGACCUCACAGAUGGGGUCUGUAUGCAGAAUCGAAUUUCUGAACCAUAGUCCUAGGGGCCAAGCUUCCUUUCCACAAUCCCCCUCUCCUUUUUGGAAAAGAGAUGAAAGACAAAACUCUUCCAGGUGGGUUGCCUCCAGUAGUAGAGAAGAUCUCCCUGGCCAGGUGUGGACUGAGUGGAGGAAGGAGGUGGCUGCUGACACCCGCAGAAAUUCCAGAUGAUGGCUCAGAACAUCUGAAAACAAUAGUUUUAGGAAGACAGGCUUUUUGUCUGCCUGUUCAUGCUCCAACAGCCUGUACCACACCCAGAGGUACAGCGACAAAGCAAGGAGCAGAAGAUAGCAUAAACAGGUCAUGAGCAGAUGUGCCUGAACUAGCCAGAGACCAUUCGUUUACACCCACAUACCUGUUACCAUCUCCUUCUUUUUCCCAUGGGAAUGAAGUGAGUGGCAAAAAGUGGGGUGAAACACUCGGUCACUUCAGGUUCUAACUUGCAGACACUGUUCCUGACUUACCUGAGGGGCAGGCUGCAUCCUUUGCCUUUUUGGGACAAAAUGUGAUGCUGUUAGACAAGGCAGUUCCACAUGGUUUCUUUUAAAAGGCAAAGCCAGAAGACACAGGGGCUGCCAGCAUUUCACCUGAGUAAUUCAACACGUGUGCACUGUUUCUGCUUUCUUUCUUUCUUUCUUUUAUUUAUUUAUUUAUUUAUUUAUUUAUAUGUGGUAUUGAGGAUCGAACCCAGGGCCUCACAUGUGCUAGGAGAGCGUACUACCACUGAGCCACAACCC
rnacentral:lncRNA from 1 species